CUUAUAUGGUCAUGUUGCGGUGCGCGCGUCACGGGGGCGCCCGCGGGGCGGGGCGGGGCCCCGAGCGCCCCCGUCACCCCCGGCCCCGCCCCGGGGGUCUGCGCGUCACCCCGGGCCCCGCCCCCUGUCAACCCCGGGGACCCGCCCCGCGUCACCGCGUGUCACCCCGGGGGUCCUGCCUCACGUCACUGCCUGUCACCCCCGGGAGUCUCGUCCAGUGUCACCCCCGGGGAUCCUGUCCCGGGUCCCCCCUGCCUGACCCUGGGGGUCUUGUCUGUGUCACCCCCAGGGAUCCUGUCCCGGGUCACCCCUGCCCGACCCCAGGGGUCCCCUCUGUGUCACUCCAUGUCAUCCCCUGGAGUCCCAUCCCAUGUCCCCCCCAGCCUGUCCCCAGGGGUCCUGCCUUGUAUCACCCUGUGUCACUGUGUGUCAUUCCCAAGCCCUGCCCAUGUCACCUCUGGUGGUUCCACCCCUUGUCACCGCAUGUCACCCUGGGAGUCCUGUUCCRUGUCACUCGGGGGACUGCCCUGUGUCAUCCUCAAUCUGUCCCCCUAGGGUCCUGUCCUGUGUCACUUCGUGUCACCCCCAGCCCUGUGCCCCAGGGCUCCCCUCCCAUGUCACCCCAUGUCUCCCCCAGCUGUGUCGCCUGGAAGUCCUGUCCCCAUGUCACCCCCAGCUGUGUCCCCCAGGGUCCUGCCCUGCAUCACCCCUGUGUCACUUGUGGCCAUGUGCCCCAGGGAUCCUGCCCUGUGUCUCCCCAGUCCUGUCACCCAGGGGUCCUGCCCUGUGUCACCCUUGGCCAUGUCUCCUGGAGGUCCUUCCCCUGUGUCACCCACAGAUCUAUCUCCCUGGGGCCCUGCUCCUGGGUCACCCCAGUGUCACCCUGUGCCUGUCCCCCCGGACAUGGAUCCUGCACUCCUGUGUCACCCCUCCCCUGCUAUGUCACCCAUGGGUCCUGCCCCCCUGUGCCACCCUCAACCUUCUCCCUACCCUGUCCCACCCUUGUCCCCCAGCCCUGUCCCAUGUGUCACCCCCAUUUUACCUGACCCGUGUCCCCCAGCCUGGCACCAGUGUCACCCCCCCCCCAGCCGGGCUGGGUCCCCGCAGCCUCAGCCCGGCUUGGGGACAGAGCCGGAGUGCCCAGGGGACACUGUCCCGGGGGGC
rnacentral:lncRNA from 1 species